rnacentral:rRNA from 1 species
AUUGAACGCUGGCGGCAGGCCUAACACAUGCAAGUCGAACGGUAACAGGAAACAGCUUGCUGUUUCGCUGACGAGUGGCGGACGGGUGAGUAAUGUCUGGGAAACUGCCUGAUGGAGGGGGAUAACUACUGGAAACGGUAGCUAAUACCGCAUAACGUCGCAAGACCAAAGAGGGGGACCCUCGGGCCUCUUGCCAUCGGAUGUACCCAGAUGGGAUUAGCUUGUUGGUGGGGUAACGGCUCACCAAGGCGACGAUCCCUAGCUGGUCUGAGAGGAUGACCAGCCACACUGGAACUGAGACACGGUCCAGACUCCUACGGGAGGCAGCAGUGGGGAAUAUUGCACAAUGGGCGCAAGCCUGAUGCAGCCAUGCCGCGUGUAUGAAGAAGGCCUUCGGGUUGUAAAGUACUUUCAGCGGGGAGGAAGGGAGUAAAGUUAAUACCUUUGCUCAUUGACGUUACCCGCAGAAGAAGCACCGGCUAACUCCGUG